GACGAACGCUGGCGGCGUGCUUAACACAUGCAAGUCACGGGGGCUCGCAAGAGCAACCGGCGAACGGGUGCGUAACACGUGAGCAACCUACCGAUUUGUGGGGGAUAGCUGGCCUAACGGCCAGGUAAUACCGCAUACGCUCACCGGGUCUCCUGACCUGGUGAGGAAACCUCCGGGGCAAAUCGAGGGGCUCGCGGCCUAUCAGCUAGUUGGCGAGGUCAUGGCUCACCAAGGCGACGACGGGUAGCUGGUCUGAGAGGAUGGCCAGCCACAUUGGGACUGAGAAACGGCCCAGACUCCUACGGGAGGCAGCAGUGGGGAAUCUUGCGCAAUGGACGAAAGUCUGACGCAGCGACGCCGCGUGGGGGAUGAAGGCUUUCGGGUUGUAAACCCCUGUUGCCCGGGACGAACUUCCUGUUUCGUACAGGAUUGACGGUACCGGGUGAGGAAGCACCGGGCUAAC
rnacentral:rRNA from 1 species